rnacentral:rRNA from 1 species
UACGGAGGGUGCGAGCGUUGUCCGGAAUCACUGGGCGUAAAGGGCGCGUAGGCGGCCUGAUAAGUAGGGGGUGAAAUCCUGCGGCUUAACCGCAGGGCUGCCUUCUAAACUGUCAGGCUCGAGCACAGUAGAGGCAGGUGGAAUUCCCGGUGUAGCGGUGGAAUGCGUAGAGAUCGAGAGGAACACCUGCGGCGAAGGCGGGUUGCUGGGCUGACACUGACGCUGAGGCGCGAAAGCCAGGGGAGCGAACGGG